rnacentral:lncRNA from 1 species
AUUUCUAAUUAAGAGUCUACUUAGAAUUUCCAUUCUUGAUUAUUUUUUCUUUAUUUGAAGAAGGAUUUCUAUUUUCUACGUACAUCUUUUCCGUUUAUUUUUGGUGUUAUAUUUUCAUAUAAAUAAAACGGUUUUGGUGUUUUGAAGUUAUAUCAACUCUAUUCACAAACAUAAUAGUGGUGGGGGUGCUAAGAAGAUACAUACCAAAAAAAAAAAAAAUCAUUCAUGGAGGAGGAGGAAGUUGUUCUUGCUCGUCCUGUUUCUCGGGUUCAUUGCAGACAGAGAUAUAAUUUAAUAGAAGGAGCAGGAAUACACAGAGGUUUAAUAAGUGUAGAAGUUAUGAUGUCGAUCGUUGAAGAAGGACAUGGGUCACGUGAGGGUCGUAUGUCG